rnacentral:rRNA from 1 species
GAUGAACGCUGACAGAAUGCUUAACACAUGCAAGUCGAUUCAAGUUACCUUCGGGUAAUGAGGAUGGCGGACGGGUGAGUAACGCGUAAGGAACUUGCCUCUUGGUCUGGGACAACUGUUGGAAACGACAGCUAAUACCGGAUAUUAUGAGAUUCUCGCAUGGGAAACUUAUGAAAGCUAUAUGCGCCAAGAGAGAGCCUUGCGUUCCAUUAGCUAGUUGGUGGGGUAACGGCCCACCAAGGCGACGAUGGAUAGCCGGCCUGAGAGGGUGAACGGCCACAAGGGGACUGAGACACGGCCCUUACUCCUACGGGAGGCAGCAGUGGGGAAUAUUGGACAAUGGGCCACAAGCCUGAUCCAGCAAUUCUGUGUGCACGAUGAAGGUCUUCGGAUUGUAAAGUGCUUUCAGUUGGGAAGAAGAAAGUGACGGUACCAACAGAAGAAGCGACGGCUAAAUACGUGCCAGCAGCCGCGGUAAUACGUAUGUCGCAAGCGUUAUCCGGAUUUAUUGGGCGUAAAGCGCGUCUAGGCGGAAAAAUAAGUCUGAUGUUAAAAUGCGGGGCUCAACUCCGUAUUGCGUUGGAAACUGUUUUUCUAGAGUACUGGAGANGUGGGCGGAACUACAAGUGUAGAGGUGAAAUUCGUAGAUAUUUGUAGGAAUGCCGAUGGAGAAGUCAGCUCACUGGACAGAUACUGACGCUGAAGCGCGAAAGCNUGGGGAGCAAACAGGAUUAGA